UAAUAGAAAAAUAUAUAUUAUAUAUAUAAAAAAUUUUAUAUAAAUUAUAAUAGGGUAUUAAUAGUUAUGUUCUUUAAAUUCAAAAAAUUUGGCGGUAUUUUAUCUAAUUAGGGGAACUUGUUUAAUAAACGAUAUUCCACGAGGAACCUUAUUUUUAUUAAAAAUUUAUGUAUUUCCGUUAUCAGAAAAUUUUUAGAGAAUUUAUCAAAUUUUCUUAAUUUUGUUAAUUUAAAAUUUAUUUCAGGUCAAAGUGUAGUUUAUAUAAAAAUAAAAAAUGAGUUACAAUAAAAUUUAUUUAUUUAAAUGAAUAUUAAUUUGAAAAUAAUUAAUUGAAGGUGGACUUAAUAGUAAAAAAAAAUAGAAUAUUUUAUUGAAUAUAGAUCUAAAAUAUGU
rnacentral:rRNA from 1 species